ACAUGUUAAAUUUUCCUACAAGUUUUGACUUGUUUAUUCUAUUUUUUAUCCUAUUUUGCAGUUAGUAAUAUCGAAAAUUUUCAACCACACAAAGUGCAAUGGAAGAAAAGGUCGGAAGAGCUGCAGUCCCGAAUCAAUGAGCUGGAGGAGGAGAAUGCUUUGCUCAAGCAGCAGCUUGAGCAAAGGCCUUCAGCAAAUCAAGGUGAGAAAAUGGACAACACUGCCACCGACCCAGAGUCAGACACUGACUCGAGUUCCAACUCCAGCACUGACUCCACCGAUUCCAGGAGCAGUGAUACAAGCUCUUCCUCCUCUGAUGGCCGCAAGAAAAAGAGGUGGCACAAAAAGAAAAACAAAAAGAAGAGCAAAAAGGCUUCAAAGAACAAAGGACUUCGAGGUAAAGUAAACUAUAGAGUUGUGCUGUAUUUCUUUAGGUUUGGAAAUUAAAUAUAGUGUAUACAGCUUAGGGCAGAAUUAUUAGCACCCCUAUGAAAAUUUCAUUUUUCUAAAAGUACAUACUAACCCUUACCCUGCAACUAAGACAAACCACAACCAUCUUUGGGGAGAAGUAAACUGUAUAUAUAUUAGUGUUUUAUUGUUGUUAAUUUAUUUUCCAUUUUCAGUGACAACAAUAUCGGAUGUUGUUAAAAGGUACCGCUGGGUCCUUAAACUAAUUCAAAAAGGACGCAAGAUGUCGAGGGCAUUCCUGAAGGCACGUGUUUCUAGAAAUGCAGUUAAAGACACCGCAGCAAUUGCGGAGCUCUACAUUGCAGAGAGGAGUGUCCUGGAUGGAAUCAAAGGCGAACAGAGGCUCCUUCAUUUAGCAAAGCUCUGCCAGUCCAAAAUUGUUGGAGAACUUGCCCUUAAAAUUGAAGAGCUGAAGAGGAAAAAAAAACUCAUACCAUUCUCCAAAAAGGGUUAAAGGGACAGGGGUGAAAGGAGAGAGUUUUUUUAAUUAAACGAUAAAUCCUGUGUAAAAUGGAUCUGGGAUAUGUUUAAUAUGAUAAUGAGAUGGGAUGUUCGUUUGGGAGCAAAAAACCACAUGCAGACGCAUUCUUAAGUUGGCUGUUUUUAGCCGAUUCUACCAAAACGCUAUAAGCUUGGAACGAUGUCUCGUGGUAAAAACAAAAUCGCUAUUUUAAACAGUUUAAAAGGCUAGAAAUAGCCCGACACUUCUUUGGUAGUAUAGUAAGGGUCUUAAAAUAUAAAACGAGGCAUUGAUAACUUUGUAAGUGUACAGAUUGUUUACUACAAAUUACAUUUUAUACACACAAUGCCAUCAGUUGUUCACCUGUCGACGCCAUUUUGUAUUUAAGACUCGAUAUAAGUACAUUGACAAAUACAGUGAUUGUGACCUCCGGGAAGAACACGCAAGCUAAGCUCUGUGUUCGCCAAUCUACUUAUCAAGUCUUAAAUACAAGAUGGUGUCGAUGGGUGAACUUCUGAUGGUAUUGUGUGCUUAAAAUAUCAUUUUUAAUAAACAAUCUGUACACUUACAAAGUUAUCAAUGCCUCGUUUUAUAUUUUAAGACCCUUAUUAUACUACCAAAGAAGUGUCGGGCUACUUCUAUCCUUUUAAGUGGUUUAAAAUAGCAAUUUUGUUUUUACCACGAUACUUGCCCCCAUCUUUCCAAGUUUAUAGCGUUUUGGUAGAAUCGGCUAAAAACAGCCAACUUAAGAAUGCGUCUACAUUCACUUUUUUGCUCCCAAAUGAACAUCCCAUUUCGUUAUCAUGUAAAACAUAUCCCAGAUCCAUUUUACACCGGAUUUAUCCUUUAUUUAUUUAUUUAUUUUUUAAAAGUUCAAAGUAAGCCUGGUUGAAGUUCUUUGACUUACUAUAAAUGUACAUUGCCCUUUGAACUCUUCGCCUUUGAACCACAAUUUCUGAUUACGUUUAGUUAUUUAUUUUCAAAUAAUAAAGUUGUUUUCCGUGUCUGAUAUCCUGCUUAUGUUUUGUUUAUUUCACUUUGUGGUCAUCCAGUGUUACUGAUUAGUUUUGCAAAACUUUUUUUCUAUUUUGUACUGUUACUAGUCUGUAGACUACUGUUCUCAACUGUUUUCACUUUAAUUUGACAGUCCUAAGACCUGUCUACUAAUGCUUAAUUGAAUAUCGACUGAUAGUUUGUUGAUCAUCAACAGAUAGUCAACUAUUUUCUCUGUUUUGCUCUGUUAAUAGCUUGUAGACACUAAACUGUUUUCACUUUAAUUUGACAGUCCUAAGACCUGUCUACUAAUGCUUAAUUGAAUAUCGACUGAUAGUUUGUUGAUCAUCAACAGAUAGUCAACUAUUUUCUCUGUUUUGCUCUGUUAAUAGCUUGUAGACACUAAACUGUUUUCACUUUAAUUUGACAGUCCUAAGACCUGUCUACUAAUGCUUAAUUGAAUAUCGACUGAUAGUUUGUUGAGAAUCAACUGAUAGUCAACUAUUUUCUCUGUUUUGCUCUGUUAAUAGCUUGUAGACACUAAACUGUUUUCACUUUAAUUUGACAGUCCUAAGACCUGUCUACUAAUGCUUAAUUGAAUAUCGACUGAUAGUUUGUUGAUAAUCAACUGAUAGUCAACAAUUUUCUCUGUUUUGCUCUGUUAAUAGUGUGUAGACGCUAAACUGUUUUCACUUUAAUUUGACAGUCCUAAGACCUCUCUACUAAUGCUUAAUUGAAUAUCGACUGAUAGUUAGUUGAGAAUCAACUAUUUUCUCUGUUUUGCUCUGUUAAUAGUUUGCACACACUAAACUGUUUUCACUUUAAUUUGACAGUCCUAAGACCUGUCUACUAAUGCUUAAUUGAAUAUCGACUGAUAGUUUGUUGAGAAUCAACUGAUAGUCAACUAUUUUCUCUGUUUUGCUCUGUUAAUAGUGUGUAGACACUAAACUGUUUUCACUUUAAUUUGACAGUCCUAAGACCUCUCUACUAAUGCUUAGUUGAAUAUUGACUGAUAGUUUGUCGACAGUCAUAUGACAAUGAACAGGUUGUCACCUACACAGGGUGCCUAUUGAUUGAUAAAAUAUUCUCAUCUUUAUUUUGCAAUGAACAUAUAUGAUCAACAGAGGGUUGAAUGUUCGUUCAUUAGAUGUUCCUUGUGAGUGGAGGAAAGUUGAUCCAUAUGAAACGUAAGUUGAGAAUUGGUUAAUAACAGCAGUUGAUAGUCAACUUACUAGAACUUGACACUCAACUGAUAGUUGAAUAUUUGUAAAGAACAUGUAGUAAAAAGCACAAUGUCUGUUGCAGACU
rnacentral:lncRNA from 1 species